AGGUGUAACGUCACGCAUCAGACCU
rnacentral:rRNA from 28 species